rnacentral:rRNA from 1 species
UACGGAGGGUGCAAGCGUUGUCCGGAUUUAUUGGGUUUAAAGGGUGCGUAGGCGGCCCGUUAAGUCAGUGGUGAAAGCCUCCAGCUCAACUGGAGAACUGCCAUUGAUACUGACGGGCUUGAGUACAGACGAGGUUGGCGGAAUUGAUUGUGAAGCGGUGAAAUGCAUAGAUACAAUCAAGAACUCCGAUUGCGUAGGCAGCUAACUAGGCUGUAACUGACGCUGAGGCACGAAAGCGUGGGGAGCGAACAGG